rnacentral:lncRNA from 10 species
CCCUCUCCUCAUCCCAAAGUGGCCCUGCAGGGGACCAGAGAUACUUCAUGUGAGUGGAGAGUGUGUUCUGCAGCCUCCAUGCUUCCAUACCUCAAUCUUACCUGCUCAUGUGAAUUCUGAGGGAGGGUCUCAUCUACUCCACAAGAUUAAAUAACAUAGAGGCACUGAGAAGUUCAGCAAUGUGUCUUAAAUCACAUAGCCAAGAAGUGGUGGAGCCAGGAUUUGAACCCAAGCAGGCUGGCUGUGAAGUUCAUGCUGUUAGUCAUGAAACUAUACUGCUUCUUAAAAAAAUUGUGACAGCACCCAGCAGACGGGGGACAAUUGCUAUGUGCCAGGAAUGGCAUAUGCCUAUCUUAUUCCUGUACUAGAUACUAUUAUUAACAUAUUUUAUAGAUGAAACCGAAGUACAGAGAAGUUCAGUACUUGCUCAAGGGCAGAGUUGGUAAAUAGCAGAAUCAGACUUUGAAUCCAGAGCCAUUGCUUAGUAAAAGAAUCAUAAGAGUUCUCUAACUUGACUCAAGAAGAAUGUUUAGGGGAUAAGACUGGUGACCAGAGGGUAGACUCCACUCUGUGGCUCCAGGCUGGACAUUGCUAUCCUUUGUGGAAAGAAAGGGAGGGAAUCAGGCAAAGGGACUGCAAAAAAUUGCUCCCAUAAGUUCCUAAGAGACACCAUAAAUAACUAAUAAAUGGGGAGAAAGUCCGUGAGUUCCCUAUGGCCAGCAUAUUGGCAUCACAAUAGUACAUGCCCCAUCGUCAAGAGAAAAUGUGUCAAGAAGGCCCUUUUCAGCUUAUGGCUCUCAAAGAAUUGCUGAGUGGCCUGGUGCUUUUCUUGUAGCUACCAGGCAGAGAAGAGGUAGAUCGGGCUGCAUUUUUGCUAAAGCUGGCCAUUGCGAAAGUUAUUCAGACAUGUGACAGUGUAUUUUAUCCUCAAGUCUUUAUAUUGAAUUACAGUCUGCCACAUCUUUUUCACUUUCACAGCCUCUGCUUACAGAUACUAGAGGAUCAAACCUUACUUUUACAAAACUGCAACUUUUCUUGACAAGCUUUUACUGUAAAGGGCAGAGACAAACCUUUUAUGUUGUUGUUUUAAAAACAUCUUUAAUUGUUUCAUUUUGGGAGAGAAAGAAUAAA